GAAGAAGCAGAAGAAAAACUGAAGGUUUGUUUGGAGAUGAAUCCCAAAUUGUGGGACGUACAUGCUACAUAUGGAGACUUCCUAAUCAGAAAACAGAGGUUUAAAGAGGCAGCACAUAUGUUUAGAAAGGGAACACAGGUAAAGCCAGACAUGAUUCCAUUCUGGGCAAAUCUGAGGAACGCCCUGCAACAAAGUGGUGACAACAAAGGGGUAAGGAAGACAAAUCUGGUUAUAGAAAGGCUUCAACGAGAACAGCAGGACAGACAGUGAUAAUAAUAGUGCUAAAUUAUACCAGUCACUAGUUCAAAGUCACACAGUGAAAAAUAUAGUGCUAAUUUAUACAAGUCACAAGUUCAAAGUCCUUAUGCCUGCAUUGUGGAGCAUAUCAUGAAAUUGUUGUAUUUAUUUUUUUUUCUUGAGUUUUAUUUUAAAUUGUUGUUUUUGUGUUUUUGCUUGCAUGUAUGUGCAGAAAAAAAAUCUGUCUCAAUUUCUUGUGGUUAGAAAGGGAAAGAAUUUUUAAGUGGAUGGAAAGGGGAACUAUGUAUUACAUUGUGAUUUUAUUUUUUCAUUUCAUUGGUGUAUUUAUAGGGAGAUUAUGUAUCGUUAUUUCAUUCCAAGUUAUAUUUUUUUUUCAAAUGACAUGUAAAUGUAUAUCAUUGGCUAUCUGCAGCUAUUAUAAUUGGUGUGAAAUGAAUGAGAGGCAAAUAUUGUAAUUUGUAUAAAAAUGUGACACAACUUAGCAUAAUAUAGUUUUUUGUGUCAAGUUUCAUUAAUUCAGUUUUUUUCUUGUUCAAGUGGUUCACAUUUAGAUAUAUUUCUUUUUUAAAAAAAACACACAUUUCCAUCUCCAAAUCAUAUUUACAUUCAACAUUUCAUUGCAUUAAAAAAAUCUCUGUUUUCAUAUUUUUUUUACCAAAAUUUGCAGACCUCUUGAUCUAGCUUGCUUUAUUCUGUUAUCUGUAUGUUAUGCAUAUAACACAAUAGAAAAAAAUCCUUAUUAAAAUAACAUACUUCAAUUUGUUCAACACCGCUAAACUUUGUCAUAACAUUCCAAUUUCUUCUUUCAGUGUGUUGGAGUUAUCUCUCUUUGAAUACUUGUGAUCUCGUUUUGCCACGUUAUAUCUGUGAUACUUUGUCCCUGAUUGUUAAUUAAAAGUGAUCAAAUAAUUAUAAAUGUUAUUUAUUACUUACAAAUAAAAAUGGAUUGACAUUAAA